GCCCUCAUAGCUCAACGGAUAGAGUAUCGGUCUUCGAAACCGGUGAUGGGGGUUCGAUUCCCUCUGAGGGCACAA
rnacentral:tRNA from 2 species